rnacentral:rRNA from 1 species
UGGGGAAUAUUGCACAAUGGGCGAAAGCCUGAUGCAGCAACGCCGCGUGAGUGAUGAAGGCCUUCGGGUUGUAAAGCUCUGUCUUUUGGGACGAUAAUGACGGUACCAAAGGAGGAAGCCACGGCUAACUACGUGCCAGCAGCCGCGGUAAUACGUAGGUGGCAAGCGUUGUCCGGAUUUUACUGGGCGUAAAGGAUGCGUAGGCGGAUUUUUUCAAGUGAGAUGUGAAAUACCCGGGCUUAACUUGGGUGCUGCAUUUCAAACUGGGAAUCUAGAGUGCGGGAGAGGAGAAUGGAAUUCCUAGUGUAGCGGUGAAAUGCGUAGAGAUUAGGAAGAACACCAGUGGCGAAGGCGAUUCUCUGGACCGUAACUGACGCUGAGGCAUGAAAGCGUGGGUAGCAAACAGGAUUAGAUACCCUGGUAGUCCACGCCGUAAACGAUGAAUGCCAGUCGUC